rnacentral:rRNA from 1 species
CCUACGGGUGGCAGCAGUCGAGAAUCAUUCACAAUGGGGGAAACCCUGAUGGUGCGACGCCGCGUGGGGGAAUGAAGGUCUUCGGAUUGUAAACCCCUGUCAUGUGGGCGCAAAUUAAAAAGAUAGUACCACAAGAGGAAGAGACGGCUAACUCUGUGCCAGCAGCCGCGGUAAUACAGAGGUCUCAAGCGUUGUUCGGAAUCACUGGGCGUAAAGCGUGCGUAGGCUGUUUCGUGAGUCGUGUGUGAAAGGCGAGGGCUCAACCCGCGGACGGCACAUGAUACUGCGAGACUAGAGUAAUGGAGGGGGAACCGGAAUUCUCGGUGUAGCAGUGAAAUGCGUAGAUAUCGAGAGGAACACUCGUGGCGAAGGCGGGUUCCUGGACAUUAACUGACGCUGAGGCACGAAGGCCAGGGGAGCGAAAGGGAUUAGAUACCCCUGUAGUC